GGGGCACAAUUAAACCCUGAUGUAGAUGCCGCACUACGAGAAUUCCUUCGGGAAAAUUGGGACAUCUUCGCCUGGCACCCUUCAGACAUGCCAGGAAUCCCACGCAGGUUGGCAGAACACAGCCUAAAUAUCCUAAAAGGAUUCAAGCCAGUCAAACAGGCUCUUCGGCGAUUUUCCGAACCCAAAAGACAGGCAAUGGGAGAGGAGCUAGCCAAACUAUUAGAAGUCGGAUUCAUCAGAGACAUAAAACAUCCGGACUUCCUAGCAAACCUGGUAAUGGUACCAAAAAAGGACAAAUCCUGGCGCCUGUGUGUCGAUUUUAAGGAUCUUAACAAGGCUUGUCCAAAGGAUCCUUUCCCCCUUCCCCGCAUCGAUCAAAUCAUCGAUGCUACCGCAGGGCACGAUUCAUUGUGCUUCCUCGACGCAUACUCCGGCUACCAUCAAAUCAAGAUGGCAGAGACAGACCAAGCCGCAACGGCAUUCAUUGCUCCAUACGGACCAUUCUGCUUCAACACAAUGCCCUUCAGGCUCAAAAACGCCGGCGCAACAUAUCAGCGCAUGAUUGAGACAUGUCUGGCAACCCAGAUCGGCAAAAUAGUGGAG
rnacentral:rRNA from 1 species